AACCCACAUGGACUCUGAUAGCACAUAUGCGCAUAAGAACACACACACACAGACACACACUUUGGGCUCUGAGAUGAAAGAGUUUGUAUUUAAUAUAUUUAUGGACAACAGUGACAGUCGCCACUCAAGCUAGAGGACCACUUGAUACCAACGAUGCCUUACAAUGUCCCAUCCAAUCAUCACUUUUUAUCAAACCAAAAGCCACAACAUUCUAAAGCUUUGAAGAAAAAAAUAUAUACAAAUAUAUCUGUCAGCCCUUGCAGAUAUAGUAUCAUGCUGUUUACUCUAAAGGCACCAACAUUCUGCCUCCACCUUCAGAACUGAAAAUGGUUGCACCAGUAUCCUCCAAAAUUUUGGUACCAACCUACCAAACAGUGUCACAUCCCAGAGGGCCAAAUCUUUCAUGGUUAUUACUGUGAAAUUCUCUCAGUCUGAAUUACUUACCAGUUUGUUUACCUACGUUGACAAAGAUUUUUAUUCUUUCAUAACAGAAACAUCUCUCUCAUUGUUCAGUAAACCACCAGAUAUUUUAUACCCAAGCAUCCGGAAUUCUCACAUAACCAGAAAAGUUUCCAAGAAAGUUUGCCAUUUUUAUAAACUUACCUUAAAUAAAGGCAUUGCCAUGGGCACAUGUUCACUUGGCAAGCAGUAGUUCUUCCAGCCACCACUACCAGCACUGCCCAUUGUCCUUGAUUCUGCAGGAGUCACUACAGUCGUAGUGAUGCAUAAUUUCAACAGAUGGUAGUUGAAUUUUUCAGGUUAUUCUAUAUAUUUCACCCCUUAAUCUGCCAUGUCUCCUAAGGAGACUCUAACACAAUAACUAAAGCAAAAACGUGAUGCCCGGGCUUUGAAAUUUGUUUUGAUUUUGAGAUGACUCUGGAACUUUUAGACUCUACUACUGACCCAGUUGACCACUUGUUAUGGGCCUUAUAAAGAUGGCUGCAAUUUACGUGACUUUUCCCUGACUUGGAGUAGUAUUUUCUACAAAUUGCAUCUUUGCUUUUGUGCAUCCAUCCCUUGCAACAGUCAGCCUUUCUGGCCACUGUCUCGUCAAUAUUCACCCAGCAUCCUGGUCCUGUUCACUCCUUGGUGGGCAGGCUUUGUACUUGGUCCCAUUACACUGUUCUUUACCUCCAUGGGGGCCUCCAACCAUUCAGUUACAAAUCUUUGACACCGAGGCGGUAUUAAAUUGUUGCUGGCCAUCAUAUAGAUAGAUAAUCGUGGUCGUCAUCUGGGCCUUAAUGUCACUUCAUCGACCACUUGUAACACGCAAUACUUCAAAUGUAUCACCGCAUUCUAAGCUUCCAGGAUAUCCAACCUUAGGAUGAAUUCUGUGAUUUCGUGAUGAACAGCCAGAUGAGUAGUGAGACCCACCCCAAAGUCAAAUAGACCUGUGCCUCCUUCAGAAAGAAAGGAUGUCCCCUGCAGAGCAUAUGUACAAUUCAGCUUCCUCUCUGGCUAUCCUGUGGUAAUGUCAGGCCUAGAGAUGAUAACAGAUGUUCCGGCGUCUAUGGUCACUAGGCUCUGCCUGUCCCUUGGCAUGUAGGUUGUUGUCGUUCCUUCUGGCUAACGGGUUGAGUGUGAGGUGAGGGGAUCAAAUUGAUACGUCCAUGACUUCAUCUUCGUGUCAUCUCUUAACAGUUUUCUGAAUCCCAGACAGCUUCCUCUCUGACAGUCAUAGUCGCGUCUCUGUGAACAGUGUUUUUGAGAUGCCAGAUAUCCCUAUCUUGCCACCAUAUGGGCCAUCGACUGCUGCUGCAUUUGGUCAGUGGCGACCUUGCUCUCAUGAUCCCCAGCCCUCAUUUCUCGCUGCUUCCCUGGAGGUCAGGCUACCCCUUUCAUAAAUCUCUCAUUCAGGACCUGGUCGUGGGCUUUCUUCACCCAUGAGGUGGUCGUGUUUCACGUCUCGGUCCUUCACUCAAUCAACAAAUGCACAGGGAACCUUCUUCUGUGUAAAUUCCUCAGGCAAGCCAACAAUGGGUCAGCAGGCAAACUGCUUGAUGGUCUCUGUGAAUUCUUGUAGUGUUUUGCAGUUUGGUAGAGCCCUGGGUUUGAGUCGUGAGUGGCAAACUGUUGCCCACGGGCAGUUUCUGUAACGGUCCUUCAGAGCCCCAAUGAUAUCCUUGUCUGCUGCUCCAACUGGGACACUGGGUAGAAUGUCGGCAGCCUGCCCUUGCAAAAUGGUGAGUAGAUUUGUGGUCUUCUCCCAGGCUGUCCAAAUGUGUUCAGCCAUGGCUUCAGAUUGUCCGUGAAUAACUGUCUAAGACACAGUCUGUCAAACUUUGGCGGCUUCAUCAUGACUUGGUCCUUGGGUUCUCGCAGCAUCCUUGUCUCAACUGGGCUCCAACUGCCGCCAACAGUUCUUGAACUCCAGAUGGGUGACUUCCAGAUUGCAUCAAGUUACCUGUAUGUUGCAUAGAUACGCCUCUAUGUCGUGUCACUCCUAUGACAACUCGUGUAGCCUGCAGUUCAUUACCUAUAUCUUUGACAAGAUUUUGAGCCUGCUGUUCAACAACUGUCAUUAUGCCCUUCAGCUCUCUGUAUAGCAUGUCUGUUAUUGUUUCCUCAAAUUCGCUCUGGGAAAUCUUUGUGUCACUUGAACUGAUUUCUAGUUCAUUUCUUAGAUCAUACUGGCCGACAAUUAUGUCUGUUGAAAAUCCUUGUUCGGCAGCCAAGUGGUCUUGGCUGACACACAUCUCCAUUUUAAGUUCUACCUGACAGUCAGCCAGUCUUUCUUGGCUGACACCAGACUAUUUAGCCACUCCAAAAUUACUUAUGAAGCUGGACCAUUCUUCGAUCCAACUACUGACACCAGUCUUUAAUGUUAAUCUUGUAUUUAGAGCAGUUAAUAUCUGAUUUUCAAUUAGCUGCUUAAAAUCGGCAUGUUUGAUCGUCUACUCCACCAGUAUUUCACUGUAUGCCACUGCACUGUCUUCUUGCACACGUUAACUAGGGUCACGCAAUACGUGCUGUUUAUCCACACAUGAGCACAGCACACCUCUUCUAAGCCCACAAUCAGUCUUGACUCAACUUCACAGGUCCAUUUAGCCUGGCCUCUUCCUUCAGACUACUCUGUCCAACUUCAUAACCACAGUUGUAUGUAGAGUUACAUCUUCAAGAACAUCCAAGUCUUAAUGCAAAUGGGCAAUCCUCUGAUUUUGUGGAAGGAAUGACAACAAGAUAGAGAGACAGGGAUAAUUGAAGCUCCAGGACAGAGGGGUGCGUUAGUCAUGCAGCAUAUCUUGUAUAAAUGUUACUUAAUAUAGGCAGUGACAAAGGGCACACAAAGUCCAUUGUGACCUGAAAGCCAUGUGAGCAAGGAUAUACUCGUGCUGAAACUAUGGUGCAACAAACAUAGCGUAUAAAUAUGAAGACCUUAUCGAACAGGAGUCCCCAAUUUCAAACAUUUGCAUGUCUAGGAAAGAACAAAAGUUUUGGUCAUGGAUCUCAAGAAGAUGAAUGAAGGAAUGACUGUACUGGUGAAGACAGGCAGUAAUUUAACCAACCGACAUUCCAAGUCUGAGACUGUUGCGAGACAGUCGUCCCUGAAUGGAGGCAUGGGAGGCGGAGAGUUCCCAUUGUUAGAAGCUGUUGUGUAGCAAUGCCUAAUGAAAACAUGUAAGAUUUAGCACGUGAACGGUAAGGUGUGUGAAUUAGUGAAACAGCUAUAAUUACUGGUAGUCACGAGUUGUAAGAGUCCGAUAAAUCCAAGUUAUCAAUCCAAACAACUUGUCACUAAAUACGUGGCAAUGUUAUGUGAUGACUGUUGUAACUGAUGGAUCACUGUAAUUUAGUGCAAGAAAUAUUAAUCAUUCCAAACACAGAGACAUAAACAACAAUCUUCCGGAUGUAGAUCGUCUGAUAAAACAUAAGCAGAGGCUAUGAAAAUUUUGGCAAGAAACCAGGGAUCCAGCAUGUAAAAUGGCAGUCAAUUGGAUCACAAAAUGAAUCAGAAGUCUACCAAUUCUGAACCAAUUCCCUGGCAGUGGAAGAUGGCGUACUGGGCCACCACUAGGAGUAGACCUAUCAAUGGUCAAGACAUGUCAAAGGGAACUUGCCCGAAGCAAAGUAACAUAAUCACUGGGGCAGAUCUCGUGAAGUUUUUCGGAAGAACAUUUCAAUAUCAACAAAAUCCUGGAUAAGUUUAUACAGCGAUGCUAUUGGCUACACACAAGGAGUGACUUAGAGAUGAAACCCACCAUGCUGCAUCUGCACAGCAAGCCAAGCCCCUGAACCUGGAACCGGGGCCUCAUGCACCAGUAUAAAUACUGCGCACAUCUCUAGAGGAUUUCCAUCGAUGUCACAUAAGCUUUUCCAGGAAGAAAGAUGAGAGAUUAACACUUCUAGGUUACAAUGGACUGUUUCACCAAGUCGUUCAAAGACUCUACCAUUCCUAACCAAGAAUCACUGACUCUGGCCAACAUUCUUGUCACCAGCUUCUUCUGCUGCGUCUGAGUCUCAGGGGAACUGUACAGUGACCAAAAUAGUUGCAACUCCUACAGAAGGUUAUAUGGUGUCUGAGAAAAUGUACAAUGUGCACCAUUUCUCUGCAUUGGCAGUCAGAUAUCACGGUGGAAGGCUACAUUACAACAUGAGAAAGGUCAUUUCAACACACAAGGCUGAUCAGGAAGGCAGGUUUCCCAUUUUCCUGCUGCACUACACAGUAUCAACAGCCACAACGGUCUCCAACACAGUGUUCGAGAGGGAGCUUCAUCUGCCCUGUGACCUGCUGUUUGGGGCUCUCCCUGGCCCAUGACCAACUAAAGGAUGGACCUUGUGGAUCGGCUACCAUGGCAUACUUCAGUACCCCCCACAACAUCAGACAGUGCAAGCAACAUGGUGAAGGCUUCCUACAACCACCUAGCCAACUCUGCUGAAUUCCAGGGAUGAGAACAUGAUUGUUAGUACCACCAGACACAGACCAGAGUUUAGUCUUCUAAGCUGCAACCAUCUUGGCAAAGUCCUUCGAACGUGAUCACCCAGAAGAAUGAUUUAGUCUUUAGUCGUCCCAAAGUGUAGAUAAAUAAUGCACAUCAAAAGACUGCAGCACUAUCGAGGGUAUACACUGGGUUAGCAGCCUUGAGGAGGGAUCAGUGAUGGGGAAACUGAAAGACCAGUAAAGAUGUUGUCUAGCCUAAGCAUGCCUCUUGAAUUAAUGAAAACCCCUUCUUCUAGACUACUCAUGAGACGUGGAGGGCUGUGUUGCAGGUGAAGGCACCCGGUUAAUAUUGUAAGACAUGGGUAACAGCAGAAAGCGCCACAAGAAAACAGUCUUCGCCUGAGUGUAGCUGAAUGGAGAAGGUGAGAUGAGGCAGCAGAGGCAUGUCUAUGAUUAUGUGUGAAAUAGUGUGUGCUGUAAAUCUUGAGUUGUUCAGUGUAGGCAGAGAGAAGCUGUUGAUGAGAAUGGUACAAUGAAUUUUUGAUAUAAUAAUGGCUAGACACGGAACCAAAAAUCUGGGGGUGUCCUGCUAAAUAUCAUUCCACCAAUUUCCCAUACUCAUCUAAUGUCAGGGCUAGGAAAAUAGGUCCAUGUGAGGUCCUACUAACCACAGCACUUGGUCUCACUCCAUGGCCACAUCAAAGAAAAUGUCUGUACUCAAAGAACAUCAAAGAAACCAAGCAUAUGAAUACAGAAAUGCACAAGCAUGCAGUGCUAAAGACUCAAGAAUGGACAAAGAACAUAAGCCCCCAUAAUCUACACAGAAUGUGGUUCACAUAACACUGAUUUGCAUUACACUGUGAUUUCUUAAAAUAUAUCAUGUUAUUUGAGGAUUUGUGCCUCCAAAUCUGCUGUACAUUUUGGAGGUGAAGGAACCCACCCAAUCUGAACCUCGGUGCUGAG